GAUGAAGAACGCAGCGAAAUGCGAUACGUAAUGUGAAUUGCAGAAUUCCGUGAAUCAUCGAAUCUUUGAACGCACAUUGCGCCCCUUGGUAUUCCAGGGGGCAUGCCUGUUUGAGCGUCAUUUCCUUCUCAAACAUUCUGUUUGGUAGUGAGUGAUACUCUUUGGAGUUAACUUGAAAUUGCUGGCCUUUUCAUUGGAUGUUUUUUUUCCAAAGAGAGGUUUCUCUGCGUGCUUGAGGUAUAAUGCAAGUACGGUCGUUUUAGGUUUUACCAACUGCGGCUAAUCUUUUUUAUACUGAGCGUAUUGGAACGUUAUCGAUAAGAAGAGAGCGUCUAGGCGAACAAUGUUCUUAAAGUUUGACCUCAAAUCAGGUAGGAGUACCCGCUGAACUUAAGCAUAUCAAUAAGCGGAGGA
rnacentral:misc_RNA from 1 species